rnacentral:snRNA from 1 species
AGUUUUGCGCAGUGGCAGUAUUGUAGACAAUGAGGUUUAACAGAGGCGGGUUUAUUGCUAAUUGAAAACUUUUCCCAAUUCCCUGCCAGGAAAACUUGAAAUACAGUUGGCAUUGGCAAUUUUUGGCAGUCUCUAUGGAGA